ACGGGGUGCAGCAGGCGCGAAAACUUUGCAAUAGGCGAAAGUGUGACAGGGCUACCCCGAGCGCCAUCCGCUGAGGAAGGCUUUUACCCAGUUUAGAACGCUGGGGGAAUAAGGAGAGGGCAAGUCUGGUGUCAGCCGCCGCGGUAAUACCAGCUCUCCGAGUGGUGUGGACGUUUAUUGGGCCUAAAGCAUCCGUAGCUGGCUGAACAAGUCCCCUGUUAAACCCAACGAUUUAAUCGUUGGCUUGCGGGGGAAACUGCUCGGCUAGGAGACGGGAGAGGCAGACGGUAUUCUCGGGGUAGGGGUGAAAUCCUAUAAUCCCGAGAAGACCACCAGUGGCGAAGGCUGUCUGCUAGAACGCACUCGACGGUGAGGGAUGAAAGCUGGGGGAGCGAACCGGAUUAGAUACCCUGGUAGUCCACGCUGUAAACGAUGUGCACUAGGUGUUGGAGGUACUUAAUCCUCCAGUGCCGCAGCUAACGCAUUAAGUGCACCGCCUGGGGAAUACGGCCGCAAGGUUAAAACUCAAAGGAAUUGGCGGGGGGGCAC
rnacentral:rRNA from 1 species